rnacentral:rRNA from 1 species
CCCGCUGAACUUAAGCAUAUCAGUAAGCGGAGGAAAAGAAACUAACAAGGAUUCCCUGAGUAACGGCGAGUGAAACGGGAAGAGCUCAAAUUUAAAAUCUGGCAUCCAUCAUCACGAAGGGUGUCCGAAUUGUUAUUGAGAGGAUCUUCAUUUUGAUACGUGGGCGAUGGCCAAAGUUCUCUGGAAAGGGACAACAAAGAGGGUGAUAUUCCCGUUUGGGUCAUGAGGGGCCUGGUGUCAUACAAAUAUAUUGAAGGUUCUAUGAGUCGGAUUGUUUGGGAAUGCAGUCCAAAAUGGGUGGUACAUGUCAUCUAAAGCUAAAUAUAGGCAAGAGACCGAUAGCGAACAAGUACCGUGAGGGAAAGAUGAAAAGAACUUUGAAAAGAGAGUUAAAUAGUACGUGAAAUUGUUAAAAGGGAAACGAUUGAGACCAGUGAUGUGAUCCAGUCCUAGAGUGUACCUUUCGAGGGACAUGUUGUGGGCUGGUCAUGAGUCGACGCUCCUUUUAACUCUUGGAAAAGACGAUGCGGAAAGGUGGCUCUACCUUUUUAGGUGGUUGCUUUAUAGUCCCAUUGGAAUACAAGAGGAUACAACUUAUGCGAGAGGAGAUAAAGUAGAAGGUGAUACAAUUUUUAUUAAUUGUUUGUCACUUUCACGUCGACGAAAUGGUCUUAAACGACCCGUCUUGAAACACGG